UGGGGAAUUUUGGACAAUGGGGGAAACCCUGAUCCAGCCAUCCCGCGUGUGCGAUGAAGGCCUUCGGGUUGUAAAGCACUUUUGGCAGGAAAGAAACGUCAUGGGUUAAUACCCCGUGAAACUGACGGUACCUGCAGAAUAAGCACCGGCUAACUACGUGCCAGCAGCCGCGGUAAUACGUAGGGUGCAAGCGUUAAUCGGAAUUACUGGGCGUAAAGCGUGCGCAGGCGGUUCGGAAAGAAAGAUGUGAAAUCCCAGAGCUCAACUUUGGAACUGCAUUUUUAACUACCGAGCUAGAGUGUGUCAGAGGGAGGUGGAAUUCCGCGUGUAGCAGUGAAAUGCGUAGAUAUGCGGAGGAACACCGAUGGCGAAGGCAGCCUACUGGGAUAACACUGACGCUCAUGCACGAAAGCGUGGGGAGCAAACAGG
rnacentral:rRNA from 1 species